rnacentral:rRNA from 1 species
GAUGAACGCUGGCGGCGUGCCUAACACAUGCAAGUCGAACGGAGAUGAAACGCUGUCGAGACUUCGGUCAAAACUUGUUUUAUCUUAGUGGCGGACGGGUGAGUAACGCGUGGAGAACCUGCCUCGUACUGGGGGAUAACAGUUGGAAACGACUGAUAAUACCGCAUAAGCCCACGAGACCGCAUGGUCAUGAGGGAAAAGAUUUAUCGGUACGAGAUGGAUCCGCGUUGGAUUAGCUUGUUGGCGGGGUAACGGCCCACCAAGGCGACGAUCCAUAGCCGGCCUGAGAGGGUGAACGGCCACAUUGGGACUGAGACACGGCCCAGACUCC